GGGUGCUUUCCAAACUUGUUCAGAUUAGUUCUUCAAAAAGAAGCCCCAGAGAACUGACGUUACCUCAAGUUCACUGCAAUUCUCUUUCUCUCAAGGAUUAUACUUGAAUUUGAAGCCAGUCUCCUAAAAGCCUCAGGCAGGUGGUCAACUCGGCUUGUGUGUUGGUCGUAGCUUUUCUUCCAAGGAGCAGAAGAUGAUGGACUUUGAAGCAAAGCCCAGAUCUGCUGCAGGCAACAAAUUUGACACCAGGGAGAGGAGGAAGCAACGUUUUCCCUGCAGAAGGGCUGCAUGGACUGAGUCAGGUUCUGUGAAGCUGAGCCUGGCAGCAGAGCAGCGGAGACAUGCUCUUAGGCGCCUUGCUGAGCACACAGGUGUUUCUGGACCCUUUUUCGAGUCUGGUUUUUCUGCAAGCUGAGUCUAGACCUUUGGCACCAAUGGCGGCUGCCUCAGGCCCCCUCGGAGGUGGCGAGUAUGAAGUGCAGGUGUUCCUGCCUCAGGAAAGUGUCUGCCGGGCCACCAGAGGUCUGAUGCUAUCAAACUACCUCAGAGCCAAGGAAUGUGCGUCUUAACAGGCUCCCCGGCUGACUGAUGCUGGUGGUCUCUGCACUCCCUCGGAGAAGCUCUGAAAAACACCGAAGCAAGCUUUCCAAAUGGCUCAACACUGGAGAAGAGAAGAUGCUUUGAAAGAGGAGGGGGAACAAAUCACUUAGAGACAUGGUGGAGGUGGGUGGGGUAUGCUUGGAAUUAACCCAUGUAGAGCUCCCAUGGGUCAUUUUAGCUAUUCAUCUCCUUUGGACCCCCUCACAGCCCUGAAAGAUGAACGUGAUUAGCACUUUUCACGAAGGAGGGAAGUUGAGGUUCUCGGAGGCUUAGAUACAUACCCCAGGCUUCACGGGCUGUCAGUAAAGACCCAGACUUUGAAGCCAUGUCCAGCUGACUCUUAAAGACUUCUUUGCAAAUAUCGUCCUGCCAAAGACUGAGCUGCUACCAGAUAACUUCAUCCAGGGCAAGGCACUGAGUCAGUGUUCAAAGCACACCUGGUAAAUGAGCAAAGAAUGAAUGAGCAAGUAAGAGAAUAAAAUGGCUUCAGGAUUAUGGAAGGGAGCCCAAGAGGCUCCCUUUAUGACCUCAACACCCAAGCUUCUCCUCCCAUAGUUUCUGUAAUCUGAAAGGUGACCCAGCUAAGUUUGCCCAGUUGAUAAGGCCGUGCAACUCACCUGCACCUUUUAUCUGCAACCCAAAUACAAACAGGAAGUGGGGGCUUAGAUAAAGGCAGGGGAAGGCAAUGCCUGGAAUCCUCAUAAGCCUGGAAUGAGCCAUUUAGUUUCAUGUCCCAAAUGUCUACUGAGCACCUCCCAAAUGCCAAGCUCUGUGCACGUCUUGAGAACGGAGCAGGAAAACAGACAGUCCCUGCCCUUGUAUGGCUUGAAAUCUACUGGGAAUCUUGUCUUAAGGAGGUCAUUAUAAAUGUGAUGAACAUAUAGAAAGGGAGAAGAAUGAAGCCAGGUGGUUACAGCCACCCUCCUGGAGACUUGCCUUUAAGCUGGGACCUCAGAGGUGAGGCGAAAGGAGGCAGGAGUCAGUGAUGGGAUCCCUUCAUGGUGCAACCACCUUAGGGCAAAAAGGUGCUUGUUCUGGGUUUUCCUGUUCCUGGUCAAGCUGCCUUUCCACAGGCCACUAUCCAUUGCUCUCUGUGCCUGCUCCCCACCUCUUUCUGGGCUCUGCCUGCAGGAGACAUGGCCCAGCCCCGCCUUCCCCUCCCUGGUCAGCUGGGGUGUGUUGAAGCCUCUUUGUACUAGCCAGCUAAUGAGACUUAAAUUUGGGGGAUUUUUGCAAUUUGGCUAAAAAAAAGUCAUUAAAAUUUAAGUUAUAUGUACAAUUUAAUAUAUUAUAGUCAAAAGUAGUGGACACAAAGAGCUCAUUGUGUGUGCUCAGUCAUUCAGUCAAGUAUGACUCUUGACGACCCCAUGGACUGUAGCCUGCUGGGCUCCUCUGUCCAUGGAAUUUUCCAGGCAAGAAUACUGGAGUGGCUGCCACUUCCUAGUCCAUGGAAUCUUCCCUGCCCAGGGACUGAACCCCGGUCUCCUGUGUCUCUUACACUGGCAGGUGCUUUGUUACCACUGUAC
ensembl:lincRNA